AUUGAACGCUGGCGGCAGGCCUAACACAUGCAAGUCGAGCGAGCGGCGGACGGGUGAGUAAUGUCUGGGAAACUGCCUGAUGGAGGGGGAUAACUACUGGAAACGGUAGCUAAUACCGCAUACCAUCAGAUGUGCCCAGAUGGGAUUAGCUGGUAGGUGGGGUAACGGCGCACCUAGGCGACGAUCCCUAGCUGGUCUGAGAGGAUGACCAGCCCACCUGUACCUGGACCACGGUCCAGACGCCUACGGGAGGCUGCGGUGGGGAAUAUUGAACAAUGGGCGCAAUCCUGAGGCAUCCAUGCCUCGUGUGUGAAGAUGGCCUGCGGUUUGUAAAGCACUUUCACCGGGGAGGCUUUACCCGCCGAAGAAGCCCCGGCUAACUCCGUGCCAGCGGCCGCGGUAAUAG
rnacentral:rRNA from 1 species